rnacentral:rRNA from 1 species
UACGUAUGGUGCAAGCGUUAUCCGGAUUUACUGGGCGUAAAGGGAGCGCAGGCGGCGCGCCAAGUCUGAUGUGAAACCCCGGGGCUCAACCCCGGGCAUGCAUUGGAAACUGGCGGGCUGGAGUGCCGGAGAGGUAAGCGGAAUUCCUAGUGUAGCGGUGAAAUGCGUAGAUAUUAGGAGGAACACCAGUGGCGAAGGCGGCUUACUGGACGGCAACUGACGCUGAGGCUCGAGAGCGUGGGGAGCAAACAGG